UACGGAAGGCAGCAGUGGGGAAUAUUGCACAAUGGGCGAAAGCCUGAUGCAGCUAUGCCGCGUGUAUGAAGAAGGCCUUAGGGUUGUAAAGUACUUUCAUCGGGGAGGAAAAAACAAAACUAAUAAUUUUAUUUCUUGACGUUACCCGAAAAAGAAGCACCGGCUAACUCCGUGCCAGCAGCCGCGGUAAUACGGAGGGUGCUAGCGUUAAUCAGAAUUACUGGGCGUAAAGAGCACGUAGGUGGUUUUUUUAAAGUCAGAUGUGAAAUCCCUGGGCUUAACCUGGAACUGCAUUUUGAAACUGAAAUACUAGAGUAUCGUAGAGGGAGGUAGAAUUCUAGGUGUAGCGGUGAAAUGCGUAGAUAUCUGGAGGAAUACCUGUGGCGAAAGCGGCCUCCUAAACGAAUACUGACACUGAGGGUGCGAAAGCGUGGGGAGCGAAACAGGGAUUAGAU
rnacentral:rRNA from 1 species